rnacentral:rRNA from 1 species
AUUGCCUCAGUAACGGCGAGUGAAGCGGCAAGAGCUCAAAUUUGAAAUCUGGCCCCUCCGGGGUCCGAGUUGUAAUUUGCAGAGGAUGCUUCGGAUACGGCCCCCGUCUAAGUGCCCUGGAACGGGCCGUCGGAGAGGGUGAGAAUCCCGUCUGGGACGGGGUGUCCGUGUCCGUGUGAAGCUCCUUCGACGAGUCGAGUUGUUUGGGAAUGCAGCUCUAAAUGGGUGGUAAAUUUCAUCUAAAGCUAAAUAUUGGCCGGAGACCGAUAGCGCACAAGUAGAGUGAUCGAAAGAUGAAAAGCACUUUGAAAAGAGAGUUAAACAGCACGUGAAAUUGUUGAAAGGGAAGCGCUUGCGACCAGACUCGCCGACGGGGUUCAGCCGGGAUUCGUCCCGGUGUACUUCCCCGCCGGCGGGCCAGCGUCGGUUUGGGCGGCCGGUCAAAGGCCUCCGGAAUGUAUCGCCCUCCGGGGCGUCUUAUAGCCGGAGGUGCAAUGCGGCCUGCCCGGACCGAGGAACGCGCUUCGGCACGGACGCUGGCAUAAUGGUCGUAAGCGACCCGUCUUGAAACACGGACCAAGGAGUCUAACAUCUACGCGAGUGUUCGGGUGUCAAACCCGUGCGCGCAGUGAAAGCGAACGGAGGUGGGAACCCCUCGGGGUGCACCAUCGACCGAUCCUGAUGUCUUCGGAUGGAUUUGAGUAGGAGCGUAGCUGUUGGGACCCGAAAGAUGGUGAACUAUGCCUGAAUAGGGCGAAGCCAGAGGAAACUCUGGUGGAGGCUCGCAGCGGUUCUGACGUGCAAAUCGAUCGUCGAAUUUGGGUAUA